UGGGGAAUAUUGCACAAUGGGCGCAAGCCUGAUGCAGCCAUGCCGCGUGUGUGAAGAAGGCCUUCGGGUUGUAAAGCACUUUCAGCGAGGAGGAAGGCAUUAAGGUUAAUAACCUUAGUGAUUGACGUUACUCGCAGAAGAAGCACCGGCUAACUCCGUGCCAGCAGCCGCGGUAAUACGGAGGGUGCAAGCGUUAAUCGGAAUUACUGGGCGUAAAGCGCACGCAGGCGGUUUGUUAAGUCAGAUGUGAAAUCCCCGAGCUUAACUUGGGAGCUGCAUUUGAAACUGGCAAGCUAGAGUCUUGUAGAGGGGGGUAGAAUUCCAGGUGUAGCGGUGAAAUGCGUAGAGAUCUGGAGGAAUACCGGUGGCGAAGGCGGCCCCCUGGACAAAGACUGACGCUCAGGUGCGAAAGCGUGGGGCAGCAAACAGGAUUAGAUACCCUGGUAGUCCAGCGCUGUAAACGAUGUCGAUUUGGAGGUUGUGGGCUUGACCCGUGGCUUCCGGAGCUAACGCGUUAAAUCGACCGCCUGGGGAGUACGGCCGCAAGGUUAAA
rnacentral:rRNA from 1 species